rnacentral:rRNA from 1 species
CCUACGGGACGCAGCAGUGGGGAAUGUUGCACAAUGGGCGCAAGCCUGAUGCAGCCAUGCCGCGUGUAUGAAGAAGGCCUUAGGGUUGUAAAGUACUUUCAGUUGGGAGGAAGGCGUUGAUGCUAAUAUCAUCAGCGAUUGACGUUACCAACAGAAGAAGCACCGGCUAACUCCGUGCCGGCAGCCGCGGUAAUACGGAGGGUGCAAGCGUUAAUCGGAAUUACUGGGCGUAAAGCGCACGCAGGCGGUUGAUAAGGUUAGAUGUGAAAUCCCCGGGCUUAACCUGGGAAUGGCAUCUAAGACUGGUCAGCUAGAGUCUUGUAGAGGGGGGUAGAAUUCCAUGUGUAGCGGUGAAAUGCGUAGAGAUGUGGAGGAAUACCGGUGGCGAAGGCAGCCCCCUGGACAAAGACUGACGCUCAGGUGCGAAAGCGUGGGGAGCAAACAGGAUUAGAUACCCUAGUAGUC